rnacentral:rRNA from 1 species
GAUGAACGCUGGCGGCGUGCCUAAUACAUGCAAGUCGAGCGAACGGACGAGAAGCUUGCUUCUCUGAUGUUAGCGGCGGACGGGUGAGUAACACGUGGAUAACCUACCUAUAAGACUGGGAUAACUUCGGGAAACCGGAGCUAAUACCGGAUAAUAUUUUGAACCGCAUGGUUCAAAAGUGAAAGACGGUCUUGCUGUCACUUAUAGAUGGAUCCGCGCUGCAUUAGCUAGUUGGUAAGGUAACGGCUUACCAAGGCAACGAUGCAUAGCCGACCUGAGAGGGUGAUCGGCCACACUGGAACUGAGACACGGUCCAGACUCCUACGGGAGGCAGCAGUAGGGAAUCUUCCGCAAUGGGCGAAAGCCUGACGGAGCAACGCCGCGUGAGUGAUGAAGGUCUUCGGAUCGUAAAACUCUGUUAUUAGGGAAGAACAUAUGUGUAAGUAACUGUGCACAUCUUGACGGUACCUAAUCAGAAAGCCACGGCUAACUACGUGCCAGCAGCCGCGGUAAUACGUAGGUGGCAAGCGUUAUCCGGAAUUAUUGGGCGUAAAGCGCGCGUAGGCGGUUUUUUAAGUCUGAUGUGAAAGCCCACGGCUCAACCGUGGAGGGUCAUUGGAAACUGGAAAACUUGAGUGCAGAAGAGGAAAGUGGAAUUCCAUGUGUAGCGGUGAAAUGCGCAGAGAUAUGGAGGAACACCAGUGGCGAAGGCGACUUUCUGGUCUGUAACUGACGCUGAUGUGCGAAAGCGUGGGGAUCAAACAGGAUUAGAUACCCUGGUAGUCCACGCCGUAAACGAUGAGUGCUAAGUGUUAGGGGGUUUCCGCCCCUUAGUGCUGCAGCUAACGCAUUAAGCACUCCGCCUGGGGAGUACGACCGCAAGGUUGAAACUCAAAGGAAUUGACGGGGACCCGCACAAGCGGUGGAGCAUGUGGUUUAAUUCGAAGCAACGCGAAGAACCUUACCAAAUCUUGACAUCCUUUGACAACUCUAGAGAUAGAGCUUUCCCCUUCGGGGGACAAAGUGACAGGUGGUGCAUGGUUGUCGUCACCUCGUGUCGUGAGAUGUUGGGUUAAGUCCCGCAACGAGCGCAACCCUUAAGCUUAGUUGCCAUCAUUAAGUUGGGCACUCUAAGUUGACUGCCGGUGACAAACCGGAGGAAGGUGGGGAUGACGUCAAAUCACCAUGCCCCUUAUGAUUUGGGCUACACACGUGCUACAAUGGACAAUACAAAGGGCAGCGAAACCGCGAGGUCAAGCAAAUCCCAUAAAGUUGUUCUCAGUUCGGAUUGUAGUCUGCAACUCGACUACAUGAAGCUGGAAUCGCUAGUAAUCGUAGAUCAGCAUGCUACGGUGAAUACGUUCCCGGGUCU